GCCUGGCUGGUUCAGUCGGUAGAGCAUGUGCCUCUUGAUCUCAGGGUUGUGAGUUCGAGCCCCACGUGGGGCG
rnacentral:tRNA from 1 species